rnacentral:rRNA from 1 species
GACGUAGGGGCAAGCGUUGUUCGGAAUUAUUGGGCGUUAAAGCCGCUACUGUGAUGGCGGGGAGUUGGAAGUCCGUGUUGAAAGACCUCGGCUACAACUGAGGGACCGGGCUCGGACUCAACUUCUAAUUCUUGUAGGCAAUCAGAGGGAUGAUGGAAUUCCCGGUGUAGCGGUGAAAAUGCGUAGAUAUCGGGAGACACCAGUGGCGAAGGCGAUCAUGUGGGUCUUGUGACGCUAGGAGCGAA